rnacentral:tRNA from 1 species
GGCCUUGUAUUCAUUUUGUGAUUAUGGAAUGCAAUUCUAUAGGGGUGAAUUAAGUUUACCAAGGCCU